UGUGGCCCAUAAGGCAGGAGAGGUUUUGGAAGUCGCCUUGACUCUUUCAGAAGGCGCUGGGGGCGGCCCGCGGGCCAAGGCCUGUUACCUGUGCAGGUGCUGGGACAGGUGUAGGUCGAUGUCCUCAGGAACCCACUGGGCUCUUAGCACAGGCUCCAGGGUUUCCCACCUCGCCCCGGAGAAGCCGGAGAAGCCGGAGCAAGGCCUUGUGAGCAAUUGAGAAACCAGGGGACCGGCGGCGCUCUCCUCCCUCUCCCGGCAGGGGCAGGUGUCACCAAGCGGGAGUGAGCGUCCAGAUGGGGAGACAGAGCUCCUGCUGGCCUGACUGGCACGCGGCUCCCCAGGAUUUGGCCCGGGGCACAUCCUGGCACGUCGGGCUCCGCGCUGGCUGCGUUAUAAGAGCCUCAUUUGGGCAAAUACCUGUUGACUUAGGCGCUACCUGGGAGCGAUCUCUGAAGCCCCCGCUCCGGUGCUCUGCUUGCCAGCUGCCGAAGCACCCUGCACGGCUCAUGCCCUGGCUUCCUCAUUGCUCCCGCUGGGCUGUCUACUCCUUGCGCUCUCCUAGCUCGGCUCCGAGUAAAUAAUUCACCACAGGCCGAAAUCGAAGAUGUAGCCAAGAGAGAAGGAGAGAGAGAGAAAACCAGGGAGCGGCAGUCCUGCGCACUGGAUGGGCACGUCUGCUUUUGUGAGGACAGUCACAGCCUCUGCGGCGGGGCAUCCUCGCCAGGCUGGUCCCUGGACCACCCGCCGCCUGAGGAGGAGUGCUGAGAAAGAAUCGCCAGGAUUCAAGUGUCCGCUCCAAGUGAGGCCAUUUAGUACGAAUUCCCUAUUUCCUUUCCCCUGCCUUCCCUUUUGGUCCAUCAUGGGAAUGUCUGGAUUUUCCUGUAACUCGUCAGUGGUGCAGGACUUCCCCUGGCAGUCGGUGAGAGCUGCUUCUGAAGACGUUCUGGUGUUUCUCUGACACUACUUCCCAGAGCUUCAGAAAAUAGCACAUGGCCCGAGUGACUCAGGUUCUUCCAGUGAAACUGCUCCAUCUUAAUUUACCCAUUUCACAGCUCAAAAGAAGACAGAGAGAGAGGUUGCAGGCCCACUUCAGCUCCUGAAGCCCCAGGAAAGCCCUCAUGGAUGGGAAGCGACAGAAUAGGACUCACUGCCUCUUGGGUGCCUGCACCUGCCACUGACAGGGCAUGGGAUGGAGCACCAGAGCUGUAGCCGCCCACCACCCCUUCCACUCCCAGAGUGACUGGGGCAAGUCCCUGCCCUCUCCAGACCCUUGCUCUGAGAGGUGCACUAGCAGGGAGGGCCUGGAAGUUCCACAUGGGAGUCGCCAGGUUAGUAAUGUGGUGCAGGGU